AAUCAAAAUUUACACCUCCUCCUCUUUUUCAUCUUCUUCUUAUGAUUUUCUUUCCGAUAUAUAGUUUUAAUAUUCUUUGCCAUGCCACAAACUAAACUUCCAAGACUAAUCAUAACCAAUAAUUUCAAUCUAAUAUAUAGCAGCAAAUACAAAUUCUCAUCACCAUACAUACAUACAUGUGUCAUGUGUCCAAUGAAAUAUGGAUUGGUUGUAAUAUAGAGAUAGGUAAAUUAAUACACACACUCACGCACGAGCUUCACGUGUAGCCCAUUACUUUGGCUCCCCAAGGGAAUGAUAACGGGUCCCUCAAGGCCCACUCAUUAGACCGGAAAGAUCGGUGGUUCGUUGGCAACGGCUGACUUGACAGUGGCUGGACCACGCCGGGCUCACGAGUCCAAUCAUAUAAUUUGUAGUGGGACCAGCCUUAACGGCUUCAGUCACAAGAUGAAAUUUGUGUUAGGAUCAAACCAGCCAAACCGGUUGUUCUUCAAGUUCGGUCUGGGCAAAGAAAACAUGUGAUAUGAUGGUUUUGAUAACUGUCACUCUCUCAGUUCCCUAAGCCUAUCAA